rnacentral:misc_RNA from 1 species
GAAAUGCGAUACGUAAUGUGAAUUGCAGAAUUCAGUGAAUCAUCAAAAUCUUGAACGCAUAUUGCACUUUUGAGGGGUCAUUCUCUCAAGUACGCCUGUUUGAGUGUCAGUACAACAACUCGACAAAAAUCAUUUGUUGGAUGCUGACGGUCUGCAUCCUUUGGAUAGACAGUCCGUUGAAAUGUUGGUGGCACACAAACCUACUGCAUUCCAGCGGUAACCACUGUGGUGUGUUAAUUUUGCUCUUGCAAAGUCAUCAUCACAGUCGUACCCUGCAAUAGGAAUGCUGGUUUGUGUGGAACCAGUGGAGAGGUGGCAGCCAAGAGAAGCCUGCCACGUUUUGAAUACCAUUGACCUCAAAUCAGGUGAGGCUACCCGCUGAAUUUAA